AUGCAGUCGAACGCGAAAGGCUCCUUCGGGGGCCGAGUAGAGUGGCGCACGGNCUGUGUAACACGUAGGUAAUUUGCCUUUGGGUGGGGAAUAACUCAGGGAAACUUGAGCUAAUACCGCAUAAUGCAGCGGCUCGACAUCGAGACAGUUGUUAAAGCGGGGGAUUGGAGCAAUCCGACCUCGCGCCUAAAGAGAAGCCUGCGGCAGAUUAGCUAGUUGGUAAGGUAAUGGCUUACCAAGGCGACGAUCUGUAACCGGCCUGAGAGGGCGGUCGGUCACACUGACACUGACAUACGGGUCAGACUCCUACGGGAGGCAGCAGUCGGGAAUUUUGGGCAAUGGGCGAAAGCCUGACCCAGCAACGCCGCGUGAAGGAUGAAAUUUUUCGGAAUGUAAACUUCGCAAGAACAGGAAGAAUAAGUAGGGGACAAUACCCCCUAUGAUGACGGUACUGUUUGUAAGCUCCGGCUAACUCCGUGCCAGCAGCCGCGGUAAUACGGGGGGAGCAAGCGUUGUUCGGAUUUACUGGGCGUAAAGGGCGCGUAGGCGGCGUGACAAGUCACUUGUGAAAUCUCCGGGCUUAACUCGGAACGGUCAAGUGAUACUGUCGUGCUAGAGUACAGAAGGGGCAACUGGAAUUCUCGGUGUAGCGGUGAAAUGCGUAGAUAUCGAGAGGAACACCUGCGGCGAAGGCGGGUUGCUGGGCUGAUACUGACGCUGANGCGCGAAAGCCAGGGGAGCGAACGGGAUU
rnacentral:rRNA from 1 species